rnacentral:misc_RNA from 1 species
GAUAAACAUGAGCCUCACUUUGACAAAGAGCGUUUUAAGCUUUUGCAUGAAGUAAAUCCUUGGACUUGAUCCAAAUUUGAGUUUUUCAAAUCCGGCAAGUGUUUUCUGGUAUUAAAAAAUAGACAUACACACACACACACACACACUCUUCUGUGCUUAGGGAAAUCGAUGUAGUGAAAUUAUUGUACCUUAAAAAAACACAACAUGUUUGGUAGUUUGUUUAAUUUUCAGCUCAAGAAAGAGAAUCAGGAUUUGAAGAAGAUCAAGAAAAAAGACCAAGAUGAUUCUUGUGAAACCCCAGGCGCUAGUUUUUCCAGUCCAGAAGGUUCUAAAAAAAGACAAAAACAAGAAAGAUAAAAAGAACUCGAAAAAUCUUCAUUUGGAAGAAUUAGAGCUCAAAAACAAGGAAAUUCAAGAUCUGAAACAACGUUUUGAGGCGUCUGAGACCCGUUCAAAAGAGGAUAUUGCCAAAUUAAAUACUCAAAAACUCAAUCUAGAAAGGGAUUUAGCAACAUUACGAGCAGAUUCAGAAACUUGGUCUAAUGAAAAAUGGGAACUUACUGCUGCAAAUACAGAUCUCCAAAGUCGCCUUCAACAAAUGGCUAUGAACAUGCAUAUUCAGGGAUCCCCUGAUCAAAUGCUCCAAGAAGAAAUUCGAAAUAUGAAACACUCUCUUAAUGAUGAACGAAAAGUCACAGAAAAGUUAUCUAGAAAUUUAGAACUGGAAAAACGCAAAGUUGAAAGUCUUGAACAGAAAGCCAAAGCAUCUAAUAAUUGUAACAGUAGCAGCAGUAGCGGAAGUCGUAAAUCUCAGAAAUCUUCCUCCACUGGAAUCCAUCUUCCUGAUGAGAUGAAAGUUAGAGAUGAUAAAUUGGCCGAAUCUAUGGAGAGGUACCGCAUUCAGUGUGACAAUUUGGGAUGUUCGUUAAGAGAAUGUGAGGAUAAGCUUCUUAUGUCGGUAGAGGGACCUUCUGUUGUCACAAACGAAUUAAGAGAAGAAAUCGGGAAAUUGAAAAAGCUCUUAUCAGAGGAAAAAAAACGAACAUCUAUUGAUCAACAUCAAAUAAAUGAAAUGAAUGGACUCUUUGGCUCUGUACUGAAGGAGUAUCAAAAUGCUUUAGAUUCUUUACGAGAUCUUCAAAAUGAAAGGAAAAUGAAAACUCAACAACAAAAUGUGUAUGAGGAAAUUAAGGAGUCCAAUCACGAAACGAGGAUAAACGAGUUAACAGCUCUACUAUUACAAUCAGAAGAACAGCUUAAGGGAGAGCAAAAUAAAAUCCAGGCUUUAAAAAAUAAGAUCAAGGAAACUGAGGUUGAGAUUGAAGCUGUUCCCAUUCUAAGAGCUCAAGUUGAGGUAUAUCAAGCGGACUUUAAUGCUGAAAGAGAGGCUAGAGAAAAAAUUGCUGGUGAAAAGUCUGAUUUAGAGGAAGAAUUGAGGAAAUUAAAGAAUAGCAAUCGAGUCAAUACAGCAGAGGCCUUAGACGAACAAAGACAUAUUGAACGUUUUCUAGCAACAGACGCUCGACCAGGAACAGCUCCAGCCCUUCGAAAUACUAUAAAUCAUUUAGCUGAUAAUUCGUUUCCAAGAUGAAGCAUUAUUCAUUAUUAUACAUAUGUCAAUUAAUAUAUAUGUAGACUAGUCAUAUUAAUGUCAAUUUACAGAUAUUAAUAUGCAUACAAAUACAUAUAUUAUAUCAAUAGCGUUAUUAAUUAUAUAUUAUUCUUUUAUCUCAAAACCUCUACAGCGGCUAAAUAGGAUAAUAUAAUACUAUUUUUUCUUUUUGUAUAAUUAUUUAUAAAUACUACCUAGUAUAAUAUUUUAUUCUUAUGUCAUAGUUAUUUAUUCAAUAAAUGUAAUAACUUUUGUACUUGAGUUCCAUCACUAA